rnacentral:lncRNA from 1 species
ACAACCAACAAUGGCAGGAAAGCAAUCUAUAAUCCUAUUCUCAUUCAUGGCACAAGGUCACAUGACAUAAUCCCAUUCCUAGCCUUAGCCUUAAACCUAGAACAAAAAUCCAAAAACUACAGCAUCACCACCAUAAUCAACACACCACACAACAUCCAAAAACUUCAACCUUCUCUCCCACCUAACUCCUACAUCAAUUUCCUCACAAUCCCUUUCAUUUCUUCCGACCAUAACCUCCCACUCAACACAGAAAACAUUGAGACUGUUCCUUGCAAUCUUGUCAUCAAACGUAUACAAACUUCUCUUUCCUUAAAACCAUCCUUCAAAAACAUCAUCCAAAACAUCAUAACCAAACAAACUCAAAAUCAAAAUCAUAAACUAUGUAUUAUUGGACCGGUUAAUCUUAGUGACAGUUGGAAUAUUCGGUACAAUAUGACAGUCUAUGCAUUUUGUGUGAGCAGCAUGGUCAUUAUUGACUUUUUUGAUCGAAACAACCUCAGGAACUGGAAGAGCAGGAGCACGAAAGUAGUCCAAGAUGCCACCACAAUCAGAGUGGUCGUGGCACCAACAACCAAACAAGCAAUUCACAUGUGCGGAAACUGGUAGAGUUUUAGCUUACCGGCCAUGUACAACCGUGCAUCAAAGCCAUGAGCAUCAUCAUGAAAACAAACACAACUUUCCUUUUCAUUUUUACUUUUGUUGUUUUGAUGUUUUUCUAUGGUUUCAAUUUAUAUUUAUAGAGUACCAUGAACCACCCCAACUUCUUCUUCUCACAUUCUUUAUGCACUGGCUUGACUUCACCAUUCUUUGUGCUUGUAACUAUUCUUUUUUUGUUUUUUAGGAAGCUAGUUACAACUUACCAUUCUUUAGUUCUUAUUAAGAAGAACUCAUCAAGAUUAUGAUUUUUUUUUACUAUCUCAUUUUUAUGUACUAUUAUAAGUUCUCAUUAAAUACUAUUAGUAUCCGAUAAUAUUUAUCUAAGAAUUGUGAUUAAGCUCAUGAAAAUAUUAAGAAUUGUAAGUUGUAACUACCUUUCGAAAAAAAAUAAAAUAAAUAGUUACCAGCACAAAGAAUGGGAAGUUAAGCCACUGCAUAAAGAAUGUGAGAAGAAGAAGAAGUUGGGGUGUUUUUUUUUUUUUUUUUUUGAGAAAGAAGUUGGGGUGUUAAUUUGGUUUGUUAAUUGUUAUAACUUGAAAGCAACAAACAUUUAUAUUUUUAGUUUUUCUUUAAAAAAGUAAUUAUAUUUUUAAUAAAAGUCAAAAUUUCAUAAAAAAACACCGUUCAUAACUUUCAAACGUUAGCAUCACAUUAAAUAUUUAUAACUAGGUGUAAGUAAAUGUCACCCUCUACGUUGUAUUUUCAGUUAACUAUGAGCACUAAGAUAAUGUGAUGUGAACUGAAAUUAUGAUCCGGGAGGUGGUUUUUGUCUUGUUCAAGAUAGAUCAAAUUAUUACCCUGGUGUUGCUUUUACUAGAAUUUUGGCUCAGUGUAACUCAACCUUAAAAAAUCGACUUGUAAGAUGGAGACUAUCUCUACUUUUUUUUUAAGAGAGAGUCUCUACUUAUAAACUUAUGUUCAAAUCUUAUCAAAUUUAGAAUGAAACUUUAACGCACACUCCAACGUUAAAGACAGGACAUCUUAAAAACAUGGCCAGAUCGAUUCGAUAAAAAUGAUUUAAUAACAAGUGAUCAACGUAUCUUGUAAUAGGUUUAAGUGUCAGCUGAAAUGUUUCAAUUAUGAGUUUAAUCGGUGAUAUUUUUGUCCCUUGAUUGUUUAGGGGUUAGUAGUGUUUAAUUUGCUUGAGCGUUUGUUGUUUGGUGGCCAAUUUCUUUUCUCGAAGUUUUGAUUUUCUUUUUAUCAUACUUACUUUAAAAGCUAAUUAGGUCAAGCUAUAACUUAACCCUAACCUUAAUCCCACUUUCCCUCCCAAAUCCUCAAUUAAUUAUGUGUGGGGCCCAUAUAAGCUAUAAUCCCAAUUCCAAAUUUGAAUUCGAGUUUUCCCUCUCAUCAUUUUGUUUGUUUCCAAUGUCAUGUCAUCAUUGUUGACUAACAUCAUUAAUACUACAUAACACCGUUAAUCAAAGUGCCUUAAUGACUUUGUCAGCCACAUCUAACUUUGUUCAUUUUUCAAAGAGACAAAAUUAAUUGUUGCUUUCUCUUUCAUUUCUUCACAUCUAUGUCUCUAAAUAAGUCACAAUUUCAUCUAUUGCUGAACAUGAAUGAGUUCAUCUUAAAACCACACAUUUCAUAUCCUUUUCUCAAAUUCAAAAACGUAUCCAAACACUUCUGCUUUAAAUCUACAAACUCUUGGGCCUGCAGUUUAGGAGCUACGGUAGUCUUCUUGGCAUUGUACACAGGUUAAACAAAAGUCAAAUUUCAUUCAACCUUCAUUUAUUUAUAAUUUGUACAAAAAGUUAUUGAACUUUAGAGAAGCCUUGACAAUAUUUCUUUUUUGUUCAAUUUCUGAUUUUUGGAUUUUCCAUUUGAAGAUUUCGUCUUUAUAGAAAAUUGUAUUAUCCAGUUUCAUGUACAAUUGCAUGCUUUGGAAGAUCAAACAUGUAAAAAUAUAUGAUGAACUUGCUGUUAUGAUUAAAUUUCCCAAUUGAGAAGUGACAUUAACAAUAAUGAGAUGGGUUGAAUACGUAAAAAAAAAAAAAAAAAGUUGAAGAAGUUUAUAACGGAUGAUGAAUGUAAAAUGUACAGUUUUCAAACUAUAUUAAUGUCAAGAUGAUAUGACCAAUAUAAUACAUUUUUAUCAUGACUAUUUCACAUUCUUUUUUCUUUAUUAUGAUAUAAUUUAUUCGCAUAUGUUUUAGUUGGUAGGACCCGUGCGGAGCACGGGUCGAUGGUCUAGUUGUUGGAUAUGCUUGUCUUUGGUGUUUUAUCACAAAAUGGUGGGUUGUUUGGCUUUUUUUUUUUUACGGUAAAAUUUGUUUUCUUGGCACAUCAUAUAUGCUGAGAGUUCUUUUUUCUAUUGAUUUUUACUUCAAUUAAGAAAUAUAUCAAGCACAUUUUUUUUCCCAUACCUUAUAUAUAUUAUGUAUUAUGUAUUGUCUCUGUCAAUUGAGUUUAACUCACGAGAACAUAUAAAACACAUCUAAAGAUAUACACCUAAUUAUUAAAAAAAAUUAUUUUAUGAUCAUUCAGUCAAUGGAAAAGAGCCUCCUGGCAAAUAUUGAGAUCAAUUAAUUUUGGUGGAAAAUAUCUUUAAAAUGUUUCUCUGUUUUUUUAUGGUAGGUGAGGAUAAUGUUGGGAGAAAAUCGCAGGAGAAUUCUUUUUCUUUUCCUCUUCCUUUUCCGAAUAAAGACUUUUAUUUCAUUGAUUAGUUGAUUUAUAAAGUGAUUUAUUUCUUUUAAAGUCCUAAUAAUGUCAUCAACUACAUAUGACUUUGACUUUUAUCCCAAGUUCAUUUCCACCAAAGCAUCAACCAAAACUGAUUAAUUACCGUGUUGGUUCCCAUAUUUCCAGUCAUUUGACAUUGGUCAUUUCAUUUUAAAAUCACUUGGUUUUGGUAAUUUCAUGGUUGUUAAUCAUUUCACAUUAACACUCAUUUAAAAUAUGUUACAUCACCAUAUUCGAGUUAAAAAAUGUGAUAAAUAAAUGUCAUGCUAACAUAUCUCUUAAAUGUGUCGGUUAAAGAGUGUCCUUACAUCAUCAUUAUGGAUAUAUUAAAGAGUAUCAUUGCAUCAUUACUACGGAUCUAUUUUAUUUUGUUAUUAACAACUAAGUGUCAUGCUAAUCGAUGUCUUAAAAGUCAUCAGUUAAAAAGUUGAAUAUACCACUAUUUAGAUUUAUAACUAAGCGCCGUGCUAAUCGAGCCUUAAAAGUCAUGGGUUAGAAAGUUGAAUAUGGUCUGUUUAAAUUUGGAUUCUCUUUAUUAAAAUGUCUCACAAUUUUUUCCAUUUUGAAUCUCUACCUUUAAAAUACAUCAACCACUCUUCUUUCAUUUUCUCUUUUAUGUUUGAUUAUUGAGAUUUAUUUGAUUAAAAUUGAAAGAAUUUUCAAAGAAGAUAAUCAAAUCUACAAUAUUGAAGACAAUUUUAUUUUGUCAACAAAUGUUGAAGGAUAUUCUUUAAAAUAAUAAUUUGAUAGAUUAAUUAAUAAAGCAGAUGAAAGUUGACCAAUAAGAAAAAACAAAAAGUAGACGAAAUUAAUAAAAGCCAAGCCAGCACAUCAUUCUCAUUCAACAAAGAACAGAACACAAAAACAAACUCUGCAUUUCCCACAACAACCAACCAACAAUGGCGGAAAAACAAUCAAUAAUCCUGUUCCCAUUCAUGGCACAAGGUCACAUAAUCCCAUUCUUAGCCUUAGCCUUAAACCUAGAACAAAAAUCCAAAAACUACAACAUCACCAUAAUCAACACACCACACAACAUCCAAAAACUCAAAACCUCUCUCCCACCAAAUUCCUCCAUCAAUCUCCUCACAAUCCCUUUCAUCUCUUCCG